UUGAAACACCUGUUCCUGUGUGAUCACUGAAGUUAAGCAAUGUUGAGCCUGGUCAGUACCUAGAUGGUUAACCACAUGGAAAUGCCAGGUACUGAAA